UGGAAGUAAAAGUCGUAACAAGGUCUCCGUUGGUGAACCAGCGGAGGGAUCAUUACCGAGUUUACAACUCCCAAACCCAAUGUGAACGUUACCAAACUGUUGCCUCGGCGGGGUCACGCCCCGGGUGCGUCGCAGCCCCGGAACCAGGCGCCCGCCGGAGGAACCAACCAAACUCUUUCUGUAGUCCCCUCGCGGACGUAUUUCUUUACAGCUCUGAGCAAAAAUUCAAAAUGAAUCAAAACUUUCAACAACGGAUCUCUUGGUUCUGGCAUCGAUGAAGAACGCAGCGAAAUGCGAUAAGUAAUGUGAAUUGCAGAAUUCAGUGAAUCAUCGAAUCUUUGAACGCACAUUGCGCCCGCCAGUAUUCUGGCGGGCAUGCCUGUCCGAGCGUCAUUUCAACCCUCGAACCCCUCCGGGGGAUCGGCGUUGGGGAUCGGGACCCCUCACACGGGUGCCGGCCCCUAAAUACAGUGGCGGUCUCGCCGCAGCCUCUCCUGCGCAGUAGUUUGCACAACUCGCACCGGGAGCGCGGCGCGUCCACGUCCGUAAAACACCCAACUUUCUGAAAUGUUGACCUCGGAUCAGGUAGGAAUACCCGCUGAACUUAAGCAUAUCAAUAAGCGGAGGA
rnacentral:rRNA from 1 species